GUGGGGACUGAAGGGCAGAGGGUGGUGUGCUGAGGACCCCUGCCCUGGAAGCAAGCUCUGAGCCCUGCCCGCCUCUCUCUUGGGCAGUGACCUCACUCCUCUCUUUCAGCCCUACAACCAUGGACACAAAGUGGCCAAGUUCUGCUAUGCAGACCAGGCCCUGCUCAGCAAAGCUAUUGAGGCAGCCUUGGCUGCCAGAAAAGAGUGGGACCUGAAGCCUGUCACAGACCGGGCCCAGAUCUUCCUGAAGGCCGCAGAUCUGCUGAGCGGGCCACGCAGAGCAGAGGUUCUGGCCAAGACCAUGGUGGGGCAGGGUAAGACAGUGAUGCAGGCGGAGAUCGAUGCUGCGGCUGAGCUCAUUGACUUCUUCCGAUUCAAUGCAAAGUUCGCCCUGGAGCUGGAGGGGGAGCAGCCCAUCAGCGUGCCGCCCAGCACCAACAGCGUGGUGUACCGGGGGCUGGAGGGCUUCGUGGCAGCCAUCUCCCCCUUUAA